GAGAAUCUGCAGAUAAACCUGAGCCAAAGUCUGAGCCAAAACCAUUUUCUGGCCUGAGCAACGCACCUGAGCCAUGCAAUCCUGACUUAGUGUUUGAUGCAGCAACCAGCAUUUUGGGAGAACUGUACUUCUUUAAAAAUGGAUACUACUGGAAGAAAGGAUAUUACAGUGGACUUUCACAGCAUAAAAUAACCUCUUUGUGGCCCUGUAUUUAUUCUGUUGAUGCUGCUUACACAUUGAAGGACACAACCACUACCGUCCUCUUUAAAGGUCAGCAGUACUGGGUUGUCAAAGGCAGCGAAGUCUAUCCUGGAUAUCCCCAACCCAUUUCCAACUUUGGGUUUCCCUCUUAUGUGAAAAAGAUUGAUGCAGCCG